rnacentral:rRNA from 1 species
GACGAACGCUGGCGGCGUGCUUAACACAUGCAAGUCGAACGGAAAGGCCCUGCUUUUGUGGGGUGCUCGAGUGGCGAACGGGUGAGUAACACGUGAGUAACCUGCCCUUGACUUUGGGAUAACUUCAGGAAACUGGGGCUAAUACCGGAUAGGAGCUCCUGCUGCAUGGUGGGGGUUGGAAAGUUUCGGCGGUUGGGGAUGGACUCGCGGCUUAUCAGCUUGUUGGUGGGGUAGUGGCUUACCAAGGCUUUGACGGGUAGCCGGCCUGAGAGGGUGACCGGCCACAUUGGGACUGAGAUACGGCCCAGACUCCUACGGGAGGCAGCAGUGGGGAAUAUUGCACAAGGGGCGGAAGCCUGAUGCAGCAACGCCGCGUGCGGGAUGACGGCCUUCGGGUUGUAAACCGCUUUCGCCUGUGACGAAGCGUGAGUGACGGUAAUGGGUAAAGAAGCACCGGCUAACUACGU